GAUCCUGGCUCAGGAUGAACGCUAGCUACAGGCUUAACACAUGCAAGUCGAGGGGCAGCAUGAAAGGAACUUCGGUUCUUUUUGAUGGCGACCGGCGCGCGGGUGCGUAACGCGUAUCGAACCUGCCUCAUACUCGGGGAUAGCCUUGCGAAAGUAAGAUUAAUACCCGACGGUCUCGGACGGCCGCAUGACAGUCCGAGUGAAGAUUUAUCGGUAUGAGAUGGCGAUGCGUCCCAUUAG
rnacentral:rRNA from 1 species